rnacentral:rRNA from 1 species
AUGGGGAAACCCAGCAUGAGUUAUGUCAUGUUAUCGAUAUGUGAAUACAUAGCAUAUCAGAAGGCACACCCGGAGAACUGAAACAUCUUAGUACCCGGAGGAAGAGAAAGAAAAUUCGAUUCCCUUAGUAGCGGCGAGCGAAACGGGAAGAGCCCAAACCAAAAAGCUUGCUUGUUGGGGUUGUAGGACACUCUAUACGGAGUUACAAAGGACGACAUUAGACGAAUCAUCUGGAAAGAUGAAUCAAAGAAGGUAAUAAUCCUGUAGUCGAAAAUGUUGUCUCUCUUGAGUGGAUCCUGAGUACGACGGAGCACGUGAAAUUCCGUCGGAAUCUGGGAGGACCAUCUCCUAAGGCUAAAUACUCUCUAGUGACCGAUAGUGAACCAGUACCGUGAGGGAAAGGUGAAAAGCACCCCGGAAGGAGAGUGAAAUAGAACCUGAAACCGUGUGCUUACAAGUAGUCAGAGCCCGUUAAUGGGUGAUGGCGUGCCUUUUGUAGAAUGAACCGGCGAGUUACGAUUUGAUGCAAGG